AUAAUACAAAAUGCAAAAAUUAGCUAACUAAAAAAUCAACGUUUAUGAAGCGAAAAUCAAAAAAAAAGAGGAAUAGCAUUUAUUACUUAUUUAUUAAUCGUUCAAAUGUGAGUGUUUAUUUAUGAACCCACAGAACGAGAUUAAAGUUUUGCAAUGAAUUUUUAUCUAUGAAGUUUUGGCAUAUACUAACUGCAAUAAUAGUAUCACUAUGGAACUUUAUUCAAGGAGAUCAAGUUGAAGCAUAUUACUCUUGUCCAAACAAUAAAUUGAUUAAAAAGAACUCACACAACGCUUUUUACACACUACGACAAAAAUCCAUAUACACAGAAGACAAAUGCAUUACCACAUGUUGCAUUGAUCUCCAAUGCCAAGAGAUAUUUUUUGAAAAUUGGAGAUGUUUUCAUGGUUACUAUGAGUACAAUGAAAAUAAUAUUUUGGAAGCUAAAGCGGUGGAAAAGAAAUCAGCAACAAAAGAGUUUGGAAAAUCAAAUUUAACUAUUGGAUUAAACAAAAGUUGUUUUAUAAGCCCAACAAUUUAUUUUGCUCGCUUACAUCAUGGCACCAAAUCUGGUAGCUUUACAAAACAUGCCAAAAUACACUCAAUGGGCAGUUGCAUUGAAAAAUGUUGCAAAUUUGAUGAUUGCAAUGUAGCUAUAUUAUAUAAAAGGGAGUGUUUUAGUGUGAAAUGCCACUCAGAAGAUGCAUGUCAAUGGGAAAGUGAUGCUCAUGACAGCAGGCUAGCUUAUGUAAAAAGAAAUUUGAGCUCGAACAAUUCUGGUAUUUCUGAUACAAAACAUACAAACAUUCUUUCACAUCCUCAUUAUAAACACAUUUUACGCAUAAAGAAUGAAGAUAGGCAUGUUAAAAGACCUGUGAAAGCAUAUGGCAUGAGUAAAGAAUCACCAGUUUCAAAAUUUGAUAUUGAAGAAGAUGAUGUUUUGGAACCUCAACUAAAAGAAGAGAACUUCUUUCCCAGUCCUCUUCUUAAAGAAUUUCAGAAAAACAUUAGCUUUACAAAUACUACUCAUGUCCAUGAAAAUGAUGGAGUUGAUGAACUUCAGUUAAAGCAAUUUCACAAUUUAUUAACACAGAAAACUGCUGGUUUGGCACUUUUAAAAGAGUUUCAUAAAUUUUCAAAGCUUCAUAAAAAGGAUUCAAAGAAUGACAAUCUUGAUGAUAACAAUCCAGAGCAAUACAAAUUUGAGAACUUUUUAAAAGAUUUGCGUUCUUCUAAUUUUAAUGCCACAGUUGAAAAAUGGAAAAGUGAACACCUCUUUCAAAAUAAAACAAAACUCAAAAAUCUGUUAACAAAUUUAAGAACUUCAGAAGAGAUAAGCAUAUUGUACUUGCUUAGUCGGCUUCAUGCUUACGAAAGAGCACAAUCUUUAUAUAAUCUUAAAAGUAAAGAGAAAGUUACUCAUUACAAUCAGAAUGCAGAAUAUCAACGUUUAUUUUACAAUUCAAAGAAACCAGUUGAAAUGGAAUAUCAUGUAAAUAAGAAAUUUCAUACUAAUGAAGAUUUACAUGCUGUUAAUGGAAUAUCCAAAAGUCACAUUGGCAAAAAGCUAAAUUUUAAUAAAAAUAAUAAUUUUGAUGUAGAAAAUAAUCCAUCUGAUUACAUUGAAUUACUUAAUGUUUUAAAAGAACUUGAAAACACAAGUUUAAAACAAAAAAGAAAAGAAAAAAAAAUAACCAAUCAAAACCAAGUUGACUUGUAUAAAUCACAACAAAAAAGUAUUAAUAACAGUAAAAUUUUAGCAGAGUUACAGAAAAUUAUUUUAAGCCUCUCUUCCGAUAUUGAGAUAUCUGACAGAAACAAAAAAAUAACCAAUAGCCUUCUAAAUCUCUCAUUAAAAAGUUCAUCAAAACAAGAUCAAGCCAUGCCUAUUGUAUUUUUUAAUUUGGAAAACGACCAAUCAAAUAGAGACACAACUUUAAAACUUCAAAGCAUAAAUUCUAAACAAAAAAACAAGAAACACAGAGUAUCCCAUCCAAAUCAAGAAAAAAAAGCUCAGGACUAUGGUUAUUAUGCUAAAAGGUAUGUGAAGUUAAACACACCAGUCAUUUAUAUAAAUAACAGAUUGCAGGAAAAGGUUAAUUAUACUGAAAACACAGUUAUGUCGAGCAAUUCAAUUAAAAAUAACCAAUUAAGCAGAGGAUUCCAUCGCUCUGACAAAUUAGAUGUAUCAAAAACACCAGUUAUAUUUAUCAAUAGAAUAAUGCAAAACCAAAAUAAAAAUAUUCUAAAUAACAAAGCUAAUUUCCCCACAGCAACUACACUAGCAAAUACAAAUUUGAUAGAAAAGCAAAAAAGUCAAAAUAGUUUGGUACACUAUGAUCCAAAACCUUCAGCUGUUAUUUUUUUAAAUGAACCUGAAGAAAAGUUAAAAAGUGUUUAUGAAUCUAAAUUAAACUCUGAAGAUGGUUUUCAAGCUGGUAUACAUAAUCAAUACAUAAAUGAUAUUGAGAACAAUGGUUUUAAAAAAGUGUCAAAAAUAAAAGGUUUUCUGCAAGCAUCAACUGAUAACUAUGGUAAUAUUAAUCCACAAGCAACAAAAUAUAAAAUUCAAGCAUUGAAUAGCGCGGUUAUGCCAACUAAUGAAACGUUUCAAGAUAUAAAUUCAAAUAACGAUAACUUGCAAAAUGGCGCUAAAGGAUACUCAGAUUUACAACCCGAAAUCAAUAGUGGACUAAAUGGAGAUUUUUUUCCUGAGAAAGAAGUCAUUAGUUAUUUAAAACAAAAAGAAUACUUUCAACAUUUGGCGCCAAAUGGGGAAAAUAUGUUAGAAAAAAGUUUAGAAAGUAAAAAAAUUGAUAGCAUUUUGCAAGACAAAACAUCACUUAAUAGGUAUGAUGGAGAUGCAAGAAUAGAAACUGGAUCAUCUCUAAAUAGAAAUGAUGGAGAUAUAAAAGAAAAAACACAAUCAUCUUUAGAUAAAUAUGAUGAAAAUAAAAAAGAAGAAAGACUAUUACCAUAUGAAGACUCAGAGGUUAAAAAAUUAUCAUUAUUAAAUCUUGAACUAAAAUCUAAGGCAGGGUUUAAUGAUGAAAGCAAGAGUGCAGAUGACCAAAAAACAAAAGAAAUGAGAAUUCUAUUUUAUAAUAAAAAUAAUGGAAUACUUGACACACAUCUUCAAAAGAAUGAAGAAGAAAUGGUGAGUAAACAAGCACAAAACAAUAAAGAUGUAGACAACACAGAUUCAAAUGAAAUAACUUUUUACACAGGGGCAUAUAAAGAAAAAAAUAAAAAUGCACUUAAUGAAAUUCGUAUACAUUCAGAUGCAAAUUAUAGUUUAGAGUUCAUUGCUACAAACAAUGUUGAUCAAAGUAAACAAUUAGAAAACAAUAUUGAUAUAGGCAAGCGUUUAGAAACAAAUAAUAUUGAAUUGAAUACAGAAUCAAAUAACCAGUUGUUACCAUAUAACAAAACAAAACUUGAAAAGCAAAAUAGUCAGAACAUUUUUUAUCAAUCACCAAAAAAGUCAUCAAAUUAUGACAAAAAAGAUGAAAAUGUAACUUUUGAUAAUGAUUCACAGUAUAUCAGAUUUGUCCUUGAAAGUAUUAAAGCUAAGUUUCCUAAAGAUGGUGAUAUGCAAUCAAAACUAACCCAAACACUUUUAUCACCUUUUGAGUCAAGAAAUAAAAGCGUUGAAGUUGUUGAUAAAGAAAUAAAAGACAUUGACAAAGAAAUAAAUGAAGUUGAUAAGGAAAUAAAAUAUUUAAAUUCAAAUAAUGAAAGUUUGAAGUUGAUAAAUGAAAAUUAUGCUGAAGAUUAUGGGUAUAGAAUAAAAGAAGGGAAGAAUGAAACUCCUGUAAUAUUUAUUAAACAGGAAGAUAAAGAAUUACCUAAUGAAAAAGAAACUUCUGCAGAUUUAUACUCAAGAUUGCUGCGUCGCGGAAAAAUAGUUUCUGGUAAAAAAAAUGCAUCAGUAUGGCUGACAAAAAAAUCUGAUAAAGAAGUCAAUUUAAGAAGAAAAAAAAUUCAAAGUAUACACAGUAAGUACGCAGAAAAAAAAAAAAUCCAACAUAAAACAUCUCUGAACAAAUCAAAUCAAGAAGCAAUUAACAAAUACGAGUUUAAAGAAUUUAAUAAAAAUCAACCUAUUUUCCAUUCCACAAAUUUUUCUAAGUUUGAAGAUAAAAAUAAAUUGAAUUUAUAUGUUACUCCAGGAUUAUAUUUGAAACCAAGUUCAGAGUUCAAGACCAGUAAUAAACUUUUUCUUAAUAAAUUAAAUGGAACCAAUCAACCACAAAUUCUAAAAAGUAUGACAUACUUAAAAGGCACUACAAUAUCUUUGUCAGCUUCAAAUCAAAUUUAUAAGUAUGCUACUGAUGUUAUGGGAGAUUUUGUUGAAGCUCUAUUUAAGAAUGUAACUACAGCCCAUAUUUCCAAUUUGAAGCUCAAUCUAUCUGACACUGAAAAUAUUGUUUUGUUUAAAAACUUGAAUAAUUUUGGAAUGCUAAUCUUAAAUAUUGCAGACAGGCUUCAUAAAAAUAAAGCUAUUGAUAAAAAUGCAGUCUGGAAAUACAUGAAAGGAUUUGGUGUAAGAGAUAAUGAAAUAAACAUUGCAUUAAGUUUGUCACAAAAAAGUUAUUUUCUGAAUAUAGCAAGAAAAGAUUUGAUUGUAAAAAGUUUAAUUCGUGUUGGGCAAAGUGCUAUUGUUGAAGCAAAAGAAUUAUUCACUCCACUUAAAUUAAAAGAAAAUAAACUGAAGGACAUUCCACUUGUUUUAGGAGAUGUUACUAACUUUACGCUAAUAAAACAAGGAAAAGGUUUUCUAGAACAAUAUAAAGAAGAGCCAACUCACCAAGGCAGUGGAAAAUUUGUUUCUCAAAGUAUUAAUGUUGCCUUAAAUAAGUCCGCUAUUGAUUUUUUAAAUAAGUCCGGAUUUCAAUUUAAAAAUAUAUCAGAAGGAAAUAUAAGUAUUUAUUUUGAAAAUAACUCAAUGCCAUUAGAGAGUAAAAAACACGAUAAAAAUAUAAAUAAUGUGGUCAAUGCUGCUACUUUUCCACCAAAUAUACAGAGUGAAAUAGUUUUUCAAGCAACUAAUAAAGACAAGCAAAAAAAGGUAACAGAACUUUACCAAUUAAACAGCAAAGAAAUAAAAACUAUCAAACAUGUGAUAAAAUCUCUUCGUAAUCUUCAAUUUGCUACUAAAAAAACAGCAUACACAUUAGCAGGUAAUAAGACAGUUCAAGUGAGCAAGUUGGUGUUACAUUUAAAGCUUCGUGGAGUAAGUAAAAAAAAAAUCAACUUAAUUACGAAUCUGCUACAGAAAAAAUAUAAGAAUAAGAAAGAAAAACUUUCUGAUGUAAUGAGUUUGAUUCAAAUUGGAAGAGAUGCAGGAAAAAUGGCUAUUCGGCUUGAAGAAAAACUGACUAGCUUACUUGAUAAGUUGAACCAAACAACUCCAACAAAAAAUCCUAAGAAACCAUUUAAAAAUAAUUUUGAGUUAUCCAGCAAAUUAAUCAACACACAAAAUCAAACUCAUGGGUUUUAUGAUAACAAACAUGUUAAUAUUCAUGAAAACUUUAUAUACAAUGGCAGUUCAUUUGGUGGAUUUGGAAGCAACCAUAUAAGUUCAAAAAAUAAUUUGAAAUUGAAAGAAAUCUCAUUGUUAUAUCCUUUUAUUAUCAAUGUUUCGAAUCCUUCACAUGUUAGUAACACCAGUUUGGAAAAUGUAAACAUUUAUCAAUAUUUUACAAAUAAUGGAAGUUCAUUUGGAGGUCUUGGAAGUAACAACGUAAAAUCAAGUAAAAAUAUAAAAUCAAAUGGGAGCAGCUCACUAUUAAAUCAUAUUUUAAAUUUUAGUUUUAGUUCUUCUCCUGCCAAUAAAACAAGUUUGAAAAAUGAUAAUACUUUUUUGAAUUUUACACACAACAGUAGUUUAUUAUUAUCAAGUGCUAGCAGAGAAAACAUAAAUGCAAGUGAAAAAGAUCAUGUAAAGUUAUAUGCUAACAACACAUUAGCAAGCUCUUUGUUUCAUGUUAUUCCUCUGUCUGUAAGUAAUAAAAGUUUGGAAAAUGUGAACAUCAUAGAAUAUUUUGAAAAGAAUAGUUCAUACAAAAAUAUAAAAACAAAUGCAAACAGUAAUACAUUGCUAAAAGUUAAUAGUGUUUUAGUAAAUCCUUUUUUGUAUAAAAAUUUAAGUCUGGUACCUUUUAGUAAAGAAAGUUUAAAGAAUAUGAAUAAACAGGAAUUUAAACAUAAUGGUAGUUCAGUUAAACAUAAUGGGAGUUCAGUAGGAGGAUCUGAUAGCAACAAUGUAAAGUUCUCAGCAAAUAAACACAAUGGGAGUUCAGUUGGAGGAUCUGUAAGCAACAAUGUAAAGUUUAGUAAAAAUGAUUUUGCAAAAAUAAGUAGUUUAUCAGCAAGUAAUUUUUUUCACAAUUUUUCAAAGUUUACAUCUGUUAGUAUGACAAAUUCAGAGAAUAUGAGCAUUGUUUCCAAUUUUACUCAUAAUGGCAGUUUGCUUAGAGAAGUAAAAGGAAACAACUUAAAACUAAGUUUAAGCAAAAAUGCUACAGACUCAAUUGAAGGUAAGGAAACAGGCAAAAAGAUGGAGGGCAAGAGUAUAAAAGGUAAGCAGAUGGUAGAUAAAAAGAUGAAAGGUAAAAAGACACAAGGUAAGAAAAUUAAAGGGUUUGACAAGUUUGAUUACCGCGCAAUGAAAAACAAGCUUUUAAAUACUGGAGAUAUAAUCCCGUCAAUAAAAAUAUUCGAUGGGCAGAAUAAAAUAAAAAUUAAAAGACUGCAAGAAUUAAACAGACUCAUUCAUAAACUCCUCAGAAAUGCAGAAUGCAAGUCUAAAAAACACUGCAAUUUAAAAUCUAGAUCAACUAAAGAAAAUAUAUCCCACCACAAGCAUUUAAAAACAGCAUUAAGAAAUGCAACUUAUUUAGAUAACUUUCUUAUGGGUGGAAAUAAAAGCAUUUAUGCUGAUCAAUCAAUUCAAAGUAAGUUUUUGUUUAACAAAGAUGAUGCUAAAUCUGAUAGAAAAUUCUCUUUAAAUGAAAAAAUUAAAAAAAAAGAAAAAGAGCCCAAAAAAAAAGGGUUAGUAAACAACCGAACAGAAUUAUACGGAGAGAUUAUACCAAAGGAAACAAGUUUAGAGUCUUUGAGUGCAUUGAAAAGUUUUGUGUCUUUGAAUGCAUCGAAAAGUUUAGUAUUUUUGAAUGCAUCAAAAAUAAACAAACAGAAAGCUUUGUAUAAUAAAACUCAACAAAAGCAGCAUAACCCAAGUAAAAUAAAAGUGAAACAACUAAACAAAAUAGAAACUAAAUUAGAAAUGAAUCCGAUAAACCAAACUGAAACUAAUACUAAAAUAAAUCAAAAGAACCAGACUGAGAGUGAAAGAAAUGGUAAUAAAAGAAACAGGCAAACUCAAGAAUAUUCUCCAAAGCACUUGGAACAAGUUUUGCUAAAUUUAAACAAGAAAGUUAACAAGUUAUACACUGAAAUGGCUAUUCCUAAGCUAAAAGAAAAAUUAGAAGCAGGAUACAAUCAACCAACAUUAGAGAACAAAACCAACACAAUUCCUCUAUUACGUUAUGUAAGUUAUCAUAAUAAUGUUAAACCAAAUAAUGCUGAAGGUACAAUGUGCCAACAUGGCCCAACUUUAUAUUCUACAUCACUUUUUGGAGGAGCAGUCGCAGGUAAGAUACUACACUACAAGGAGCUAAUAAGUACUGGUCAAUGUUUGAAGCUUUGCUGUUCUUUAUUUGGAUGCAAUGUUGCUUUAGUAGUAAGAAGUACAUGCUACCUGAUAAAAUGUCGUAAAUCUAGAUUAUGUGAACCAAUACAUUUGGCAAAUAAUCCUGACAUUCAUGUUACAUUCUUUUAUAAAGGCUUGCAUGAUAAUGAAGUGUCUGUUGCCAGUAGAAGAUCAGAAGCUGUUUUAAGAGAUGCAGAUUUGCAUCAAAUGAAAGACCAAUUUUAUGAAAAGAACGAAAAAAGGCCCAUUCUUAGUAAUGAUGAAAGACUUUCUUUUGAUGCUUCCAAAGAAAACAAAGUAAAUUUGAAACAAGAUUUUGAAAAUAUUAAGCCAGGCAAUCUCUUUAACCUAUCCCAAGUACCAGAGAAAAACCUUUAUGAGUUACUUACUGAUUCAAACAUGACUAAUCUGCAUAAUGAUCAUAAAAUUUAUACCUAUGAGAAUAAUACAUAUAAGGGGAGAAUAAAUGAUGAACAAAUUCUAAAGUACACAAACGAUACUACUGAAAAUAUUUUAAAAACUGUUACAAAAAUCAACAACAAAUCUAGUUUUGUAAAAUCAACCCAAGAUUUUCAAUCACAUAAAUUGAGUUAUGAUCCAAAUUUUAAAAAUGAACCAAGUAAAAUCCAGAUGUUAGAUGAUUACAUGUUACAAAAAACAGAGUUACCAAACGCAAAGUUAGUCACAAAACUGAACAAUUCUUAUAGUUUUAGUCAUGGUAACUUGUCAUUUCAUACUUUUGAAAAUCAAAGUAAAGACACACUAAGUAAUGUCAAUUUGUUUGAAGUCAAUAGUAAUGUUUCUAUAUUAAAUGGUUUAUCUGACCAAAAAGAAAGAGUCACCCUUUUUAGAAAAACCAAUGUGACUGCAACAAAGAGUAAUAACAACUUUUUAGAAGUAGCUGAAAGUCCUGAUCAAACAGGUUUAAGGCAGAUUUAUAAGCAGAUCAAUGGUUCAAAUUUUUCGGAAGUUGAAAAUGUAAAUUUAAGGUCGGAAGGGAGAAUCGAAAAUAAGGUGAAAGAAGAAAUGAAUAGCAUUUUAACUUUAAUGAAAUGGAAUUUUACAAACAGUUUUAUAAAAGAUGUUCUCCAAUUGAAUAAUUUAACACAUAAAAGAAAGGCGAUCCAACAAGAGAAAAACAGACAAGUGCCAAUUAUAAAAGAAAAAGAGAAAGAAAGACAAGUGCCAAUUAUAAAAGAAAAAGAGAAAGAAAGACAAGUGCCAAUUAUAAAAGAAAAAGAGAAAGAAAGUGGGAUUAAUACAUCAGGUUCCUCAGAAGAUCCUCAGCAAGUUUUUCCAUCAACCCUCUCCAGUAACUUCUCUCAAAAAAACAUAAUUAAUGUAAAUAAUGAUGAAGAUUUUGAAAUGAAAGAUCACCCUAUAAAUUUUUGGAAAAGUUCACACAAUCCAAAAAUGUUUAGUGAUCGAAAAGAAGGCUUAUUUACAGAGUUUCAACGUAAAACUUUAAGCAGUCCCUUAAUUUCAAUCAACUCAUCUAAUAAUCUCAACAAUAGCAGGGAUAAUGAUUUCAAUAACUCCAUACCAGUGAUUGAUGUAAGAAUUGAAAAUAAAGAUUUACAAAUGGAAAAUAAUGAUAUAAAAACAAAGCAUCCAAUUGAACAUGAAAGUUACACUCCUUUUAACUUUUCAAGCAUGGCGUUAAUGAAUAAUAACAUAAGUUUAAAUAAUACAUCAGAUAAAACAGAGUCAAAUGUAUACUCUUUGAAAUGGAACAAUACUCAUAAUUUGAUUAAAAAUAUUCUAGAAACAAUUAAAAAUGAAAGCAAAUUCAAAGAAAACUCAAAGUUAAAAGUUGUCAUAAAUAAGCUUUUGGAAUUGGAAAGACAUAGAAAAACGGAUGAUCAAAGUAAUUUUUCUGGCUCAGAUUUAGAAGAGUACGAAGGAGGCGAAGCGAAAGGAGGCGAAGGAGCGAAGAUAGAUAAUGACGAUGAAUUAAAAUACGAAGAUGAAGAUGAAAAUGAAGAAAAGAAUGAUAUAGUUUCCAGUGAAUUCAAAAACAAUUCAAAUAAUUUAAAUCACAGCACCAUAUUGACCAGAAGUAAGAGUUACAUUGAUGCUACGAACAACAGUCUAGAAAGUAAUUCAUCUACAAAAAAUUUAACUGUAAAAAAUUUUAAAGAAUUUAGUUCACAUGUUUUACAUGUGAUCGAUCUCAUUAAUCUUGAGAACGAACGAGUUUCGCAUUUUUUAUCCAAGAAAAAAGUUCUUUUGUUUAAUAAGACUCUUAGUUAUUUGAGAAACGCUUUACUUGCCAUCAAAAAUGAACCUUUCAAUAAAAAAACUUUUGAGGAGGCAGACCAUGUUAUACAACUAGUGAAGAAGACUCAGGAACUUAUUGAAAGUCAUGAUAAAUUUGAAAAAGAGCAGGAACUUCCUAUUGACACAAUUUCAAAGACAAAAAAUGCUUCAGAAGGUUUCAUUGUAUCAAACUUUGAUGCUAAAAAUAUUGAAACACACAUUAAAGUGUUAAAUCCAGACCUUAGUCAGGUGGGGCUUCUAAUUCCUAAUCCAGUUUUUGAAGAAAAAAAUAAUUACAGCCAACCUAAUCCAGUUUUUGAAGAAAAAAAUGAUUAUAGCCAACCGAAUUUAGUUUUUGAAGAAAAAAAUGAUUUUAGCCAACCUAAGCCAGUUGUUGAAGAAAAAAAUAAUUUGAAACCGAAGAAUAAUGUUGAAGCAAAACAAAGGUCUGUUUAUUAUGCAGAAAAGAAUAAAAGUUUAGCAGACUUGAAAAACUUGCAGGUUAAAAAAGUAAAUCUGGUCAACAAGGAUUUUGAUCUUUAUGUUGUAAGUGUAGAGAAAAAUGCAUCAAACUUUUACAAUCAAAGUAAUCUUAUACCAUCUGCUAAACCUAUUAUUACCACAAACAAACAGUCUAUUGUUACCACAAACAAACAGUCUAUUGUUACCACAAACAAGAAAUAUAUGUCCAAAAAGAAGGGUAAAUUGAAAAAAAAUCCAUAUCCUAAAAUCCAGAAUAUAAAGAAAAAAAUCCAGUAUAUAAAGAAAAAAAAGACUAAAAGUAAAUCACAACUUUACUUUCAAAAGCACAAUAUAAAAACCAUUCAUGUUAAUAAUAGAAAGAAGCAACCAAUCAAAGAACCCACAGAAAAUCACCAUGGCUACAAAUAUCAUAAUAAAGAUGACAAUCAUUUAAGUAGUUUUAAAAGAAAAAAAAGGAAACACAAGUUGAAAAAAAAUGACAAAUCAAAAAAAAAAGUUAAAGCUAAAUUAGAUUUACCUUGGAAUAACAACUUUCAGAGAGAAAAAAUGGUUGAAACUUUUCUUCAUGGACAAUCCUUGAACAGUCUUGAGUCAUCAGCUAAACUCUACCAUCCUGAUUUGAUUGUAGAAGAAACUGAUAAAAUUAUAAAUAACAUUGAUGAAGAAGUAAAAAAAAUCAAAAUGAAAGGCAAAGAAAAGUCUUUAGAAGAUAAAGAAAUUUUAGACGAAGAUGAGAAUCUUCAAAAGGAAAUUAGAAAACAAAAAGAAAAUUUAUACAGCAUGUAUCCAAUUAAAGAAGAAGAAUCAGAUAAGAGUUCAUAUCACAACAAUACUUUUAUUAGCUCUCCAAGUGUGUUGAGUAAACACCUGUAUAAUUCAAUUUCUAAUGACAAUGCUAAUGUAAAUAGUGAUACAAACAGCUCAACUAAUAGUGAUGAUGAAUUUAUUACUGUUGAGUUGCAACCACUUAACUCCACUAAAAAUCAAUUUGUACCUAAAUUUAAUGUCAAAUUUGAGCCUCUUGACGAAGGGAGUAUACUAAGUACAAAUAAAGAAAGUGCUCAAAUAAUUCCUAGUUUCUUUAAUGUAGGUAAUUUAAAUGGAAAACUAAUAAAUAAUAAUAAAAUACAUAUAGGCAUGAGUAGUAAUAAAUUUGAAGAAGCAAGAAAAUCAGGUAAGGCUAACUUCAAUAAACCAUAUGUUGUAAAAUCAAAACAAAAUAUAACUCAAAUGAACACAAAGCAUGAGAGGCCAUUUACUAUGAAUCAAGAAGCUUAUCUUCAAGCUCUACUGCAACUUCCCUCAGAAGAAGUCAGCCCUCAGUUAACUUUUUCUCCAAAGUAUGAUGAAAAUAACAAAGAUGCAAAUGAAGAAAAACCAAUAUUAGGUCCUGGCUAUGCAAGUACAUCAAGUGCAGUUCAGAGACACAGAAAUUAUUUUUCCGAUAAAUUAUUUAAAAGUCCAAAUGAACAAAAAGGUAUUUUUGAAAAAGGAACAACACAGCAUGCUUUUCAUAAUGUAAAUAAUAAAGAAUCAUUUGGCCCAGAGUCUGGACCAGAGCCUGGCCCACAGCCAGAGCAUUGGCAUAGAGAGGCAAAUGAUUAUUUUCAAACUAAAAACCAGCCUGAAAAAUUGGUUAGAAAUCAUGGAAAUAGUAAGGAUGAAAGUUCUUUUUUAGUCCCUCAAAAUGUUAAUCUUGGAGAGAAACAUCAAAAUAAACUUUUUUCAGACCAAAACUUGCAAGAAAAAUAUAUAGAUCCAAACAUUGAACACAGGUUACAGUUUCAUGAACCACUUGUUGAGAAAUUCCAACAAUUUCACAACCCUAAAAGUAUGGAAGUUAUUUCUAAUGAAGGCAUAAAAAAUCCAAUCUUUUUUGCUGAUAAUAAUGCUAUAAAUGAAUCGAUUCAAUUGCAUUUAAAUAAAGGCCUUACAAAAUCAGGUCUUGAGAAUAAAGAUCUAGUUAAAAAUGAUUCAAAAUCAAUAGAGAAGAACCAAUCAAAAUCAACAGACCAUUCUAACUUUGAAACGAAUGAGGAAGAGCUGUCUAAAAUCAAAACCUUGAAUAAAUCUACAUAUGAUAACUCAGAAGGAAUCCAUGGUAUCAACAACAUGCUGUUGUUAGAUUUAGUAAAAAAGUUGUCAGUAUUUCAAGAACUUUCAGAGUACAAUCCUGAAAUAGCUCAGAGAAUUGUUGAAAAAAUUAGAAACAGCAAAAACAGAGAUGAAAUUGUUAGUGCUAUUAACAACAUAGUACCUGAUGUUAAAGAAGAAAUACUGUUAAAAGAUAUAGUUGGAAACUACAAAAAGAUUAUCCAUAAUUAUGAAACUACUGAUAAAAGUUUGAGUUUGGCAGACAACACUUCUUUUAUUGGCCAAAACUUAACAGCGGUCAAAAAUUUGACAAAAAUGCUGCCUGCGCUUCGAAGUGUAUCUGGUGAGGCAGCUAAUAUGGUGCAAGAUGUGGUGGAUCUUCUAAAUUCUAAAGAAAACAAAACAAAGAGCAUCUUAAAAGUAUCAGAAAUUAAUUCUGAUCACAAAAUAAAUCACACAAAACCAAAUAUGACACUUUUAAAGUUUGUUGAAAUUGUCAAAGUGGAAAAAAACUCUAGUGAUAAAAAUGCACAAGUAAAAUCUGUAUCUGACCUGUCCAAUGCAGUAAAUAGCUUACUUGAAAAUGUAUUUAAGUUUGUUGGAAAUAAAAGUAACUUUACUAAGAAAGAUAUUCCAAGUGCACAAGGAAUAAAAAAGAUGAGCUCAGAAGAGAAUAAAACAGCGAAAGAAAUGAACCAAUCCAAACAAAGAAUCAUUAAGAUAACUAAUGAACUGAACGAUUUGCUGGAGAAAGUGUUUGCCAACCCAUUACCAUUUGAUAAGAAAGAGAUAUCAAAAAAUGAUUCAAUAAAACAAAAUUCAACAGCCACAAAAGUUUUUCAAAAAGAAAACCUUGAGAGAAAUCCUAAAAUUGUAUUGUAUAAUAGUAGCAAAUCUAAUAAUGACUUUAAUGAAAUUGCAGCUAAUUUGCUAACAAAAUUUAGGCCAACUUCUCAAACAAAGGUAAGCAAUUAUAAGAUUUCUGAAACGAUUGAAGAGAGAAAAAGUGAAAGCAAGGUAUCAAAUAAUGUUUUGUUUCCAAUUCAUUUAAAAUCUUCCAAAAUUAUUCCAAAAGUUGAGCUUGUGGAGGUUAAAAAAAAUCCUUUGUUGUAUUCUAUUGAAGAUAAUAAUAUGCCUGACGAAAAAAAUAAACCAAAUACUCCAGCUUCUAUUUUAAAAAUUGGGAAUUUUGUAGGAGAUACAUUUAGUAGCACUAUACCUAUCGAAACCCCUUACAUUCAGCCAGUAAAAAAUUCUAAAACAGGAUUUUUUCAUAACAAAUAUGUACAAGUAGUUGAUAUACCAUUGCAUGAUGUCAAUGAUUUCAAGACUUCAUUUAAUGAGCCCAGUGAUAUGUCUAGUUUUUUAAAAACAGAGGGAACUAAGUUGACAAAUAAUUUUAAGAGUAUACCAAGCAAUAAAAUGUUUUUAAUGGAUAAAAAACAGGGAGAAUCUUUAUUAGAUACUUCCAUGCACCUUCACGAUGAAAAUUAUUUUCUAAAAAACAAUCAAAUGGGACAUACAAAAAGUGAAAUAGUGGAAGAAAUAAAGGAGAAAAAAGUAGCAAAUACUAUGCCUACUUUUUCAAAAAUAGUUCCCACAAUAACUCCUUUAAAAUCAAUACCUAUGAGCAAAUCUGGUGGAAUCAUUCUUCAACGUAUUUCUUACAAAAACCAAGCACAAUCGCUUAAAGAGAAAAAUGAAAAGGGGUUUUUUAGUGGCAUUAAAUCUGAUCGUUUAUUGAAUAAACCUUAUUUUAAUAAAUUUCGAAACUAUAAGCCUAGGGCACAAAACAAGUUAAAAGAAAAGCUGAACUUUAUCAAAGCAACAAUUGAAGAUUUAAACAGCUUCCUGCAUGAUCUUUCUUAUCAAAAAAAACAUGAAAAAUUAGACGAUAAAAAAAAAAUCAAACAUUUGAGACCUGAUGAAGACAAAAAGAAUGAAGCUAGUUUUAAUCCAGUGGUAGUUCAUAAUAAAAACAAUUUAGGUAGCAUGCAUUCUGCAGAAGGUGUGUUGAAAGAUUUAUUUCAACAUUUUUCGCCGGCUGAUAGCCGUAUAGGAUCUGUAUACAAAGAUGUGUCUGGAGGAAGAAAAGAUGAGCUACCAAAACCGAAACAACAAAUUGAUCUUUCUCAAGAAUCUUGUCAUGUGCAGUCUGUUACGUUUAACAAAACAAUCAAAGGAGGUUUACAUGCUGGAUUGUUUCAACCUGUAUUUGAGAUUCAUAGCAUGGGUGAUUGUGUCUUAAACUGUUGCAGUGCAGAAAAAUGCCACCUUGCGAUGUAUUAUAUGGACUUUUGCUACUUGGUAAAAUGUAAUGAUGAUGAAGCUUGCAGUCCUGUUCCACUCACCUCAAUUUCAAAUCAAUCACCAAUGUUGGUGAAAAUCAGAAAUGUGAAUAAUAACACAGUAUCAAAUCCGAAAUCAGAAGUAACUGCUGCAAUUGAUGAUUUAGUUUCUAAACUGUGGAAGUUAAAGUUAGAUAAGCACGAAUCAGAAGAUGAACACAUAUUUAAUAAAGAUACAAUUACACAAGUUACUAACAUAUCAUAUACAAAUGAUUUGAAAAAUAAUUCCCAAAUUUUUUCUAACACAACCACACCUAGGGUGGUCACACUUCCAAUAAAAAGUAUUGACACACAAGGUAAUCUAGACUCGAAAGUAUAUUCAAGAAGUGGCGCCAAUAAAACAGAAUUUUUCUACCACAUUGAAAACAAAACAAAACAUAGUAACAGUGUUUCAAAUAAAGUAACUAACAUUGAUAUUAGUACUGAUAGUACAAAACAUAUUGAAUUAAUUACAAAUAAUUCAACUAAUGACAUUAAAAGUAAAAUAAAGUAUGUUGAAGGUGACCUCACAAAAUUUAUCAACAUUACCAUGAAUAGUUUGAAUGUUAUCAAUGGAUCUCAAGUGAAAACAACUUUUAAUGAUGAUAAAAACAUUAUUAAGACAAAUGAAACUUUAGUUAUAAAUGAAAAAGUGUCCGAAUUUUCUCCAAAAAAUUUUAGCCAUUUUUUUAUGAGCGAAAUUGAAAGUUUGGUGGCGGAUGCUUUAACACAUUUAAUCAACCAAACAAAUAAAGUUGCGUUUAAAACCAAAUUUAACCAAACAAACAAUGUUGCAUUUGAAAACCAAAUCAACCAAACAAACAAAGUUACAUUUGACACCAAAAUCUUAGAUAACAAAACACUUUCAGAUACAAAAAAUGUAACAGAGAGUAAAGUUGUUGCAAAGGGUAUUUUAAAUAAGGAAGUUCAAAAUACAAGUUUAGUUUUUACAGACUUUAUACAGUUUGUGAACUCAACAUCUAAAAAAAUUCCAAAUGCAGUACAUUUAAAUAGUUUAAAACAAGGUAUAAAUAUCUCCAACCUUUUGCAAGCACUCAACAUAAGGGAAAAUAACCAAGGAAAACAUGUCACCCCAAAACAUAAAUUUAUCAGAAAUAAUAAGUUUGGUUUUAGUUUUCAAAAAGAAAAUCCAAGUUUAUUAACUAAUCCUAACGAAACAAAUGAAAAUAAUUUUUUGAAUUUAAAAGAAAAAGAUAAAGUUGCAUUAUUAUUUGCAAAGCCGAUUCUUCCACAAAAAUCAAUGACUCUUUUAAGUAGAAAAUCCAAAACACUUUUACCAUCAAAUAUAAAUAAAACUUUUAUAGAUGUUACUAUUUUACCAAAUGCUGAUUAUAAAAGUAUGAAGAUUGUUGAUAGAAUAACUGGUGCUAUUAGUGGUACAUUAAUGCAGAAAAAUGAGUCUUUUAAAUUGUUACCCAAUAUUCAAUCUAACAUGUUUACCAACAUACAUAAUUACAGUGAUCUUGUACAAAGUUUUAACAACAGAAGCAGUGAAGAGUCACGUUUCACUGAACGCGGUCGUAAACAUAUUUUAAUUCCUAGUCCAGCGCAGACUCAUUCUCAAAAUAGCAAUAGCUACAAUAUGUUGACUUGCUUAUCAACAGAUAUAAAGACAGGAAUGACAUUAAAGGCAGGAACAGAAUCAGGACACUUUAUUUACAGAGAUAAAGUUACAGACUUUGACGAAUGUAUACAGGAAUGCUGUCGAGAUGCUUCAUGUGACAUGGCAGUUUCAAUUAAUAAAAAUUGUUAUAGUUUAUCUUGUGAAAAUUUGGAUGCGUGUUCAAUUUUACCUGCUGAAGCAAAUAGUGAGUUUGUUAUUAAAAUUGCUGAUGUAAGAAAAGCUAUGGCUAACGAAAUUGAAAAUGGACAAUCUGAAUCUGGAAAAACAUCUGAAGUUUCUGACAUUUCUCCUGAAGUAAUAUCAUUCUGCAAACAUGGUGAAAUAUUAUUGGAUGUUACACUAAAAGGUGGAAACGAGGCAGGAAAGUUCACUAGUCAUGGUCAUGUUUCAAGUUUAUAUGAAUGUAUCCAGCAUUGUUGUGAUGCACUAUAUUGUGAUUUAGCCAUUAUAAUAGCAAAUAACUGUUUUUCUGUGUAUUGUCAUAGUAGAGAGCUAUGUGAAACUUAUCCUACAAGUAAAGACAAUAAGUUAAACAUCAAAGUAAUUUACUUACACAGUAGAGAGCGAAUUCCUUUUGAUAAAGCAAAAAAAACUGAUAAAGACACUCUUUAUAAAACCUUGAAGAAGUUGGAUAAGGAAUCGAAUUUUGAAAAUAAAGAAACUAAAGAAUCAAGAGUUUCAGAAUUAGCAGUUACUACUUCCAAUGAAGAAACAAAAAAUGUUCAAAUUACUAAAGUAAACUCUGAAGUAGAAGCUUCGGUUUUAACAACUGUGUCUCCAAUAUCAUUGUUAGCAACUACAGAAGAAACUACAGUUACUACCACAUUGACUACAACUCUGCCUUCUACCACUUUGGCAAUAGAAACAACAAAUCAACCAGCCAUCGAUAUCCAGAUUGCUGACACUUCAACCACUGUAAAGCCAUUGUUAUCUCCACAAGAUUUAAUAACACUUAUUCGUAUUUUAAAAUCUGAAAACACAGAUGUUGCUUUAAAACCAGCUCUAAACUAUGAAAAUGCUGCAAAUAAAGCAAUAAUUUCACCUGAUGAUAUAACAAAAUUAGUACGAAUAUUAGAUCAUCCUGUUAACACAUUGUUACAUCCUUUAUCAGCAACAACAGAAAACAUCCAGCAUCCAUCUACAGAAUCAGAUCACAUACAUGAUAUUCAUAAAGCAGAUGCAAAUGCUCCAAUCAAACAGCAGUUAGUUAACAAUAUAUCUAUAACUAAUGCAGACAUACCUGUUCCAGCAUUCUCUGAUGUUAACAAUAAAGAUCAAGAGAAAGGUUAUGAAUUUGUAACUGGGAAAGCAUCUAAUUUGCUAACCAAUGAAACCGAAUCUUCAGAUGUAUUACUAAAACUGGAUGAAUCAAAUGGGCUUUUAAACAAAAGUAAAUGUACACCUUAUCAAGUGUUUGAAGAUAAAACUUUAUAUGGUGGAUCCAAAGCUGGAAAAUUUUUCCAUGAAAAAAAUAUACAUUCUUUUGAUAAGUGCAUUGAAAAAUGCUGCAUUGUUCAGACAUGUGAUAUAGCCUUGAUGAUACAGAAGCUCUGUUUUUUAGUAACCUGUUAUUCACGAGAAUCAUGUGAUGUUAGUAAUAUGAAAUCAUCUCAAUAUCUUCCAAAGAUUGCAUACAUAAGGAUUGCACUAAUGGAUGUUGAUAGUGAUGGAGAAAGAAGAACAAUGACUGAAAAGUUACAUUACAAAUCAGCAAUUGAGAAGAAAAAUAAAGUGGUUUUUGAAAAUCCAACAGAUCUUCUUGAAAAUCUUAAUAACAAGAAAGAAAAGUUCAUAGCUUCAUUGAUAGGGCAAAAAAAGCAAAACAUAAAUUAUUUACCUAAGUUUAAUAAAUAUCUUUUUAAAAAUGGUACCAAUUUUCAAAGGCAUUCAGUUUCUACUAAAUUAAGACACAUCAGUCCAAAAGCUAACUUACAUCAAAAAACAAUGCAAUCGACUUUAGGUAUAUCUGCUACUGUAAAGUCACAUGUGAAUAUUCGCCCGCAUCAUAUUAAGGAAAACAAUAAUAUAUCUUCAAGUCAUAAAAGUAGAUUGGGUAACAGUAAAAAAAUAAUGCCUAAUCUUUUUAACAAUGAGUCUAUUAAAAUAUUUAGACAAAAAGAGUUUUAUCCAACUGUUUUGCCCUAUUUGCAAAAAAAUACUGUUAAUACUAUUAACACAAAAUCACAUAGAAAAUAUUCUACUUUUUUUCCAAUCACAAACUCUAAAAGUAUUAAGCUAGAAAGUAAAACAACAAAAGUUGAUAUUUAUAACUAUACAAAUAAGAAAAAUUGGAUUGAAAAACCCAUAGAUCAAUUUUUUCAUAUGACCCUGAAACGAAAUGAUUCAAUAUUCUUGUCCACACUAAAAGAUGGCAGUCCCCUAAAUAGCACUGAGAGAGGAAAGGUUUUGGAGUCUUCUUUUUAUAAUGAAUCUUUUUUAAAGCAUACAAAAACACAAUUGCCUAAAGUAUUUCCAACAACCAGUUCAGAACAAAUUUAUCAGCAUAAUGAAACGAAUGUAUUACCAUCGAACUACUUUAGGCCUACUUCAAGUAAUUUUAAUAAGCUAAAACUUUCUUCAGUAUCCUAUCCAAUGUUUCAACUAAAUUUCAGUCAUGAAUUACAUAAUAUGACAUGGAGUCCAUUAAAUACAUCUAAAAUAUUGACUAGAAAGACAAAAGAAAACCAAUCAUUGGUGACAUUUUUAGUAUAUAAUAACUCCAACAAAGAAAACUUUGUUCACCUUGAAAACAAAUUACGUAAAACUGAAGUUGCUUCUUCAUUUCCAGAUCCCUUAAACAAAUUUAAACUUAAUAAAUUUAUGAUUCAACCUUUAAUAAAAUUGGUUAAUGAGCUUGUUCACAAUGAAACUAAAGUCUCACUAGCUAACAUGAAAAGCUAUAUACAAAAGUUAAAAGAAGUUUUGGAUAUUGAAACUGAUGCUAAAAUUGAAGAACAGAAAGAAUUUUAUCUGAGUUCUCAAAAAUUAAAAGAAAAUUUUGAACAAACACAGUAUAUUUUGGAAAAGUUAAAUAAAGUCAUGAAAUCAGUUCAAGAUUUGGAAAAGGAGAAAAUAAAAAAUAACUCUUUAAAAAAUAAAAAUGAUAGUUUUAUAAAUUGGUCAAGACAAAAAAUUAAACAAUUGAAAUUUAACCAUUUAAAAAAAAGUUUUAAAAAGAAAAAAUAUAAUUUAAAGAAAUCCCAAUACAGCAAAGAGGAUUUAUUAAAAGAAUUUAGAAUAAAUACCAACACAUCAGUUAAAAACCAAAUAAACUUAAAAGAAAUUCGUAUCAAUCUACUUGAUAUUAUUGACAAAUUAAAUUUCAUAGAUAAAGAAGUGAUAACAAACAAAUCUCAACUCUUAGGUCCUGUUUCCAAAACAACCUUUUUUGAAGAAAACAUAACAAGAGAAAAAGAAAGAAAGAAAAAUGAUUAUGCGAAUCUAAUGAGAAAAUGCAACUCUAACUUUACUUUUUACCCAAACCAAAGACUUAAAGGUGGUUUAAGAUCAGGUUUGUUUAGUUUUAGAGGAUUUGUUUUUAACAUAGAAGAUUGUGUAAAAGCUUGUUGUCAGUUAGAUAAUUGCAACAUAGCAUAUAUUCAUAAAACACUGUGUUUUACAAUACAGUGUAGUAAUUCUGCAUUGUGUGUCCCUGUUGCAAACAAACACCAAAAAGAAGAAUCAAUGCUAAUAUUUUUAAAAAGAAUGCCAGGAAGUCACAGUUUGUUUGAUGAGUCUGAAAUAAUACUAUCUGAUCCUGAUUUAGAGCUUCACCCUAAAUCUUUGCAUCCUGCUGUUUCCAUAAGAUCUGGUAAAACAGAUGGAACUAACAUAAGUGAAGGUUUCAAAGAUAUAACGCCUUUUAAUGAUGUCCAAAACAAGGUUUUAACACCAAUACAUUCAAAUAUCUACAACGAUGUUAUGUGUUUAAAAAGCAACACACUAAUUGAUUAUUCGUUAAAAGGCAAGUGGAAGGCAGGAGAUUACAUUAAAUAUGAAAAUAUAAAGAGUAUAAAUGAAUGUAGAGAUCUCUGUUGUAAAUGGAGCGAAUGCCAUGUUGCCUUGUUACUUAAAAAUUGUUACAAUAUUAAGUGUAAAUCAAGCAACAAAUGUACACUUACAAAUACUCAAGUAGAUAAAUUUAUUCAAUCAAAACUUACUAUUGUAAGAAUAUUUGGAAAAAGUUAUUUGCAAGUGCCUCAAAAAGCUCAAGAGAAAACACUAACAGAUAAACAUUUAAUUCCAACUGUGUCUGUUCAAAAAAUUUCAAACAAAAUAAUUUCCUAUAAAAGAAAAAGCCAAAUUGAAAAUGAAACAGCAAGUAUGGACCAGUUAAAAGAUUUGGAGACUUUGUUGGAAGACUUUAAAAAUACUUCAAGCUUCGAACAAAUAAACAAUAUCAAAUUUCAGCAAACUGGUAAUAAAGUAUUAUCUGUAAACAAUGAAAACGCAACAAAUAUUUCAUUUGAUGACGAUGUAGAGCCACUAAGGCAAAAAUCAAGUUUAUCUUCAAACAGUGAAAAUAAAAUUGAUGUCAUUCCAGAGCUUUCAAUUGUUACAACUGAUAAUGAUUAUGAAUUGCCUCCUGAUAAAAUAAUGUUUUUUUCUACACCAAGCAAGAGCUCAAACUAUGAUGAAAUAAAAAAUUUAAAUGCGAUGUAUUCUGGACCUACUGAUGCCCUUAAAGAACUUCAAUCAAAAUACUUUGCUCAAAAUGAUUUUAAUGAAUUAGGUUUUAACAACCCUACACAAGGCAUGUCUAGUGUACAUACUAAACCUGCCAUGCAGGCCACAACUCUAACUAAAAAUGUUGUUAUUUCCACAUCCACAACUCUAAAUGCACCUAUCAGUCCAACUUCUCGCAUCAUUCAGAAUACACAAGCCAACAUGGCAACAUACAAAAUAUUUGAUAGAAAAAGUGAUGAAAAUUAUGAAAAUGACAAGCAGAAGAGUCAAAAUAAGAUUGCUGACCCAGAAAGUUCAAUAUUAGUUUACAUAGAUCCAGAGGAUCAAAAUUUUGAUAUUGUUGAAAAACCUACAGAAGCCCCUCAUUUUGAGCCUAAAAUUGAUCAAAGAAAUAAUUUUACUGACUUUUCAAGUAGUUUUAUAAAUAAUCCACUCAAUCAAACCAAAGAACAGGUUAUAGUUAACAAAGAAACUUCAGUAAAUUCAAAUAAAACAGAUUUUGCUCCAAAUGAUUUUAAAAGCAAAAAGUUAAAUGACUUAAAAUUACAUUUUAGUAACAAUGAGCAAAAUGUUACAGAAAAUAAAAUGAAUACAAAAAAUGUUACAGACAACAGUGUAUAUGAGCACAAUUUUGCACAAAAUAUACAUUAUCAGCACAACAUAACAGGCAAUAAAGCAAAUGAGCCUAUUAUUUUAGGCAAUAAAGUUGUGUUAAAUACUGUUUUCAGUGGUAAUGAUACCAGGAACCAAACUCCAUAUAAAAACUCUGAUCUUGUAAAUUUUCCCCGUAAAAAAAUAUGCAAGACAACUGAUCGCCUCUACAAUACAACUUUAAAAUAUGGACUAAAAUCUGGAAUAUUUUUUGAUGAAGGAAUAGUUUCUAAUCUUAACAUCUGCAUUAAAAUGUGUUGCAAAAAAAAUGAAUGCAAUAUUGCAUUUAUGCUUAAAUCAAGAUGCUAUUUAAUUGCCUGCAGUGAGUUUGAAAAAUGCACUCCUAUUUUGUCAAAGUCCUCAUAUUUUUCUCCUAGACUUGUCUAUGUACCAAAAUCUGAAACUAUGAGACAAACAUUCAGAAAUAUAGUUAAAGAUUUUCAAGAUAAAACUCUUAAAGAAAAAAUAACUACAGAACCACUACUCUUACCCAUAGAUAGAAGUGAUAAACAAAUUUCAGAAUUAGGUUUAGUUAAUUCCUCUCUGUUAAGCUUAAAAACAAAAAAUGCAUCUGUAAUUAAUGAUUCUAUUUUACCAACAUCCAUGAUUGAUGGUGUUGUAUUUAAAGCAUCCCCUCUAAAUGUAAAACCAACUGUAAAGUUAAACAUUGCGGAAAAUAAGACAGGAAAAAUAUUGCAGAAACAAAAUGAACAUUUACAGUAUAAUAAUUUUGAUCAGUCUAUAAAAUCAUUGCAGUUACAGUUUAAGGCGAUGAUGUCAUUAGUAUUAGACAGAUUCCAAAGUAUGGAAUACAAUAAAACAAUUAUUAUAGACUUAUUAAAGAACUUAACAAAUGAUAAUAUGAAAUCUGAGGGUGAGCGCAUGAAACUAGCAAUAGACAUGUUACAAGGUAUUCACAAAGAUUUGGAAAAAUUAAAACCAAGUAUAGAGAGCCACAAUGAAAUGAAUGUGACCAAAUUAAUGGCAUCUUUUUUAAAUGCAAGUAAAAUAGAAACUGAUCCUAAAAGCAGUUUUGAUUUAAAUAGCACUUUAAACAAAUUCGCAGAGCAUAUUGUUGGCCUAUUAAAAACAGAUUUCUCUAGAAAACUCAAGACAUCUCCAGUUUUACAGAAUCAUGUUUAUAAUCCUAAUUUAAAAAAUUAUGAAAAUUAUACAGAAAAAAAUCUAUCAAUUAAAAAACUUCAACAUGAAAAUCAAAUCUCAAAAACUUCACUUGAAGACAUACUAAAAGUAAAAAGUGAAAAAGCAGUAGAAAAAGUUACUAAGCUAGUUGAAAAAAUGGAGUCAUUCAUUAAUCAUGUAGACACAAUUAACAAAAAACUUUAUAAAAAUCAGCAAAACAAAACUGCUGAUGAAGAGUUUCUCAAGUAUCUCCACAAAGAAAUUAAUGUCCUAAACAUGACAGAGGUAUUAACUAAAAUACAAAACCAGGUUAAAGACUAUCUACACAAGGAAUCUGAAAAUAUGAAACACACACUUGUAGAACCACUUAUUGGGAGAAUUGAUGCCAUUAUGGAAAAUAUAACUUCAUUUGAAAAAAAAAGAGUUUUUCCCACUCAGAUUCCUUCACCUGCAAUUAAAUUGCAACACAAUAAAGAAAUAAAUUCUAAAGAGUACAAUAGUUAUAAUAAAAAUCUUAAAAGAAACCAAAUACUAAAUGUCGCUUCAAAGACACUUCAAAAUGAUGUCAAUUCGAUUGUAGCAAACUUAAAGCAAGAGUUGCACUCAAUAACAGAACAAGUUCAUAGCUCAUUAUUUAGUCAAGGGUUUGGGAAAGUGCCAGGGGUUCCUAUUUCUUACAAUCACUUUUUUUCUAAAAAAGCUAGUUCAGCUUUAUCAGCUGUUCCACAGUGCAGCCACACUUUGCCUUCUGUGGGGUACACCUUUGCUGGAGGAAUUAAGUCUGUUGAAUAUUCAAGUGUUGGGAAGGUAAACACAUUUCAAGAAUGUAUUGAGUAUUGUUGUCAGUAUAAAGAAUGCGAUGUAGCUUUGAUGCUAAAUCAACACUGCUAUAAAGUGCGUUGUCUCUUAAUAGAAGGGUGUCAGAUUGUUAAAGCAAAUGAUUUGCUCUUUGAGGUAAAACUGGCUGUAUUAAGUCGGUACUUUGAAAGGCAGCAGAAUAUAUCAACCACCAAAGUAACCUUUUUAAACAAACCAUCAUUGUUUAAAAUAGUUCCAUCAAUGUUCAUUUCAAAUACAAUACCAACUAGAUACCACUUUGUUGCUAACAACUUUCAAAACAAACCAGAUAAAAGUAUGGCUACAACUGAUGAAGGAAAUUUGUUAGCUGAUAUGUCAGUACUAAAACCUACAAUGCAUUUGGCAAGUUCAAUACUAAAGCCUACAACGCAUUUGGAUAAUACUAUGCUUUCUACAACUGUAGUACCUAUUUUAAAGCAAGUUUUUAAUGAUUUAAAAACUCAUACUGUCAAUAAAACCUUAUAUACAGAAGAACAAUGUUUGCAUGAAACAGUUAAAGAUGGUUUUACAUUGAGCAAAGGACUUAAAGCAGGUCAAUUUUCUAUGGUAGGAAGUGUAUAUGAUUUUCCUCAAUGCAUAAAAAAAUGUUGUCAAUCAAAUUUAUGUGAUGUAGCUUUUAUGAUUAAGCACAUUUGUUACACAGUUAAAUGUUAUAAAUUGGAUAGUUGUGAUUUAGUUCCUGCAUUUAAAUCUGUAUACAAUCCUAAAGUAGUUGUUAUGAAAAGGUUUAGUGACACGCUUUUGAUUCAGCAAAACAACCUGGUUGCACAUACUAAUUUUGAUGAUAAAAAAGUUUUUGUAUCAAUUCCUACAAAACUUUGCGAUCAUAUGACACCAACUACUGAUGAAAUUCUAGAGCAGGGAUUAGACAUAGCAAAAUACAAAAGUAUGGGGGAGGUCAAAGAUUUUAAUAUAUGUCUUGAAAAAUGUUGCAAAUCAAGAUGCGAUAUGGCGCUAAUGGUAAAUAAACACUGUUACCAAGUUGACUGCUUCAAGCAUGAUUGUAGAUUAGUAAAAACAAAUGAUUCCAUAGCCACAAUAUCCAUUUUGAAAAGCUACUUUGAUAAAGUACUUAAUACUAAAACAAUGUUAGAGAAAAAAAAUGUGGGAAAAAAUAGUUUAAAGAUGUUAACCACAACUCGAUCACCUCGAUAUUUUUCAGUAAAUGACAAAAUAACCAGGAUCAUAUCAGAUAUUACUCCAUAUGAGUUAUGCAACCAUAGCGCUGUUCAAUCUGGUUUUACACUUUUUGGUGGACAAAGUUCUGGAGUCUACAAAAAGCAUGGAAAAUUAACUUCAUUUGAUGAUUGUUUAAACCUAUGUUGUCAAGAUGAGGCUUGCAACAUUGCUUUCAUGAUUGCAAAUUAUUGUUUUACGAUACAAUGCAAUAGUAGCAUAAGUUGUAGGUUAGUACAAUCUAAGCCAACUAUCUACACUCCUUUAAUUUCUAUUGUUCGAAAAUAUGUUGGGGAGCAACUAACAAAAAAUGUAAAAAAAAUAUCUUCCAUUGAUUCUCAACCUAAAGCAUUUGUUGAUAAUUCUUUAGCUAAAACAAAAUUUAAAAAUGAUAUUAUUGAUCAGCAAGAUAAAGAACUUAUAGAUAGCUUAUCUCCUCUAUGUAAGCAUAGUAUCCCAACAUUAGGUUACACUUUGCUGGGAGCAAUGAAUUCCGGAAAUUUUACACGAUUAGGUAAUGUAAAUCAAUUUAGUACAUGUGUGAAGGCUUGCUGUCAUUUUGAACAAUGUGAUCUUGCAUUUAUGCUUAAAACUCACUGUUAUGCGGUUCACUGCAUACUUGAGGAAGAGUGUCUUCUUGUACCAGUUGCUAAAGGCUCUUCACAUUUGCCUACCACUUCCAUUAUUAAUGAUGCAAGAGUGUCUAUUCAAUUAAAAUCAACAUUAUCUACGCCUCUACAAAGUACUAAUAACUUAGUACACAAAAGUGAACAUUUUCCUACACCAUGGGUUACUCAAUUUAAGUCUUUAAAUAAGCAAAACACAGCAACUAUAACACCAGUCCCAUCAGCACAGAUAUCUGUUCAAAAUCCUGUUAAAAGAGCACCAAAAGCAACAUUAAAAACUGAAAAAACUAAAGCAAUGGUAAAGGCUUCAUCAAAAACUACAUCAAAAGUAGCACUCAAAGCAACGACAAAACCAACAAUAAAAGAAACACUGUUAGUAACACCAGAAACAACAACAAAAGUAACAACAAAAGAAACACUGAAAGCCACACCAAAAACUACAACAAAAGCAACAACAACAACAACAACAAAAGCCACACUAGAAACAACAGCAAAAACAACAACAAAACCAACAACAAAAGCUACACCAGAAACAACAACAGAAGCAACAACAAAAGCCACACCAAAAACAACAACAAAAGCAGCAACUAAAACGAUACCAGAAACAACAAUUAAAGCAACAACGAAAGCCACACCAGAAACAACAGUAAAAGCAACCACAAAAGCAACAACAAAAGUAACGACAAAAGCAACAACAAAAGCAACAACAAAAGCUACACCAGAAACAACUACAGAAGCAACAAUAAAAGCCAGACCAGAAACAACAGCAAAAACAACAGAGCCAGAAACAACAGCAAAAAAAACAACAAAAGCUACACUAGAAACAACAACAAAAGCUACACCAAAAGCCACACCAGAAACACAAACAAAACCAACAUCAAUAGCAACACUGAAAGCAAGACCAAAAACAACAACAAAAGCAAAACUAAAAUCAAUCAAACAAAAUCAAGACAAAUCAAAGACAAAACCAAAACCAUCCCAAGAAGCAACAACAAAAGCAACAACUAUCUUAACUAAAAAAGAAGCAUCAAAAACCAUACUAAAAAUAACACCAGUAGCAACAAUAAAAGCGAAAAUAAAAACAACAAAUUUAAUACCUCAAAAAACAGCAAACUUAUCAGUACUUAAAACACCAACAGUAACAUCCUUCCAUAAAGAAAAAAAAUAUCUCAAAAAAAUAAAACCAAAAUUAUUACACUAUACAGAAGAUCAAAACAUAAGACAUCUUAUAGCUAGCUUUACACCAGAAUUAGACUGUAAGUAUAAUGAUGUAAAACCUGGUUUUACUUUGCUUAGUGGAGCAAAUGCAGGCCAUUUUCUAUAUAUGGGUAAAGUUAAAGACUUUGAUACAUGCAUCUCAAAGUGUUGCAGCCAACAAGACUGCAAUGUUGCUUUUAUGAUAAAAUUUAAAUGUUAUGCAGUCCAUUGUCGAUCAAGGUAUGACUGCAUGCUUAUAAAAGCCAAACCUUCUGAGUUUAUGCCAAUUGCUGCUUCUAUGAAGUCAUUUUUAAGUGAGGAAAGUAAGACUAGUAAUCUUCAAAAAGAUGAAAAUGAAACCAACGAAUUUUCAAAAGAAUUUUUUUUAAACAAAAGUAAAUUGGAAGAGGAAAAUUAUUUUAAAAAUAUUAAAAUCACAGAUAAGAUCUUGAGAAGCAAAAUUCCAACUGCAAGUAGUUUAGGAACUAUUAAACCCCCAGUCACAAAACCACAGUCACAUUUUUCUAACAAAAUUAAUACCAUGUCCGGGCUACAUGGUGAAUCCACGACACACAAAUCUUACACACGCCAAUCUACUCUACAUUUGGCACAUCCCCUGUGUCAAUAUAGCCCGGUUUCUUACAAUGUUUCGCUGCGUCAUGGAAAGGAGUCGGGCUAUUUUACUGAUCAGGGGGUUGUGAAAGAUCCAAUCCACUGUGGAGUGAAGUGCUGUCAAGUUCCUAAAUGUGAUGUAGCACUUAUGCUAAAAAAUAAAUGUUAUACAGUUUCUUGUAUAACAGCAAGGGGGUGUGAAGCAGUUGAGGAUACUACUUUACCAUUCUCUUCGGCUGUAAUUUACAUCAUUAAAAGCAGUCAAAAGGAAAGUUCUAACAGUCUUGUUGAUUAUCUUCAUAAGUCUAAGAUAAAAGAAUUCCAAAGUCCUUAUCAACUUCAAAUUAAAAGAAAGAGAAAAGAACCAAAGAACAUAGAGAAACUGCAUAAAUCUACCGAAACAACUAUAAGAUUGCAUUCUCCAUUUUCUGCUAAACAAAAAGCUUCUACAAUUAAAAAGUUUUUUUUAAACAACAUUUUAUCCCCUGAACUUAAAAAAAAUUAUUUACCAACAAAAACUGUGGUAUCUCUAAAAAAUCAUUUUGUAACAUCUACUGAUAAAGAAACCGAAAGGUCAAAUAUUGUUCUUCAUGAAGAUGAUCAAAUUCUAAAUGCAGAAGAUUCAAUAUUAAAUCAUUUUCCUGUUUAUAAAACUCCAACAUUCAAAUCAAUAAAGUACAGUUUAUCAGAUGAUCUUGUCAAUAAGGAUCAGGAGAAAGAAUCUAAAAGUGAAACCUUUCCUGAAAUAAAAAUUUUUAUUCCUGAAGAAGAUUAUCAAUUGAAUCUUGAUCCAACAUUAAAAGCUUUAUAUCACCCAACACCUGGCCUAAAUCCUUCAAAACUAUCAUCUUUAAGGGAUAGUUUUGUUCUAAAAAACUUUGUUGAUUUUAAUAGGAGCAGCAAAGUAUUUCCAAAAAGCAAAUCAUAUAUGAAUGACAAUAAUUAUGUUCCACAUUGUAUUUUUGGUGAACUUCAAGACUAUGUAACAUUGCAAGGAGGAUUAAAUGCGGGUAUUUAUUCUGAUAAGGGUGUUGUUUCUAGCCCAUAUUUGUGUGCAUUGCACUGUUGUAGUGAUAUCAAAUGUGAUUUAGCAUUUAUGAUAUUAAACAAAUGCUAUACCGUAGCAUGUUUGAACAAAAUGUCUUGUCAAACAGUAAAUGCUGCUGGAAAUCCUUAUCAUCCCCAGGUUAUUGCUGUCUCAAAAGAAUUUCCUAUUUCUAGUUUAUAUCAAACCACAUUUUCAAAUGUAUAUGAUGAAAAUGCAUUAAAAAAAGCAUUAACUACUUCUCAACCUAUUCUCCAGUCUACAACUACUCGCCAGUCUACAACUACUCUCCAGCCUACAACUACUCUCCAUCCUACAACUACUCGCCAGCCUACAACUACUCUCCAGCCUACAACUACUCUCCAUCCUACAACUACUUUCCAUCUUACAACUACUCGCCAGUCUACAACUACUCGCCAGUCUACAACUACUCGCCAGUCUACAACUAGUCGCCAGUCUGCAACUACUCGCCAGUCUACAACUACUCGCCAGUCUACAACUACUUUCCAACCUACAAAGAGUCCUAAAUUCCUCCUUAACCAAAAGGAUAUUCCUUCUUCUGAUAGCCAAAAUAAUAUCUUAUCUUCAGAAAGUGGAAAAAGUAUUUUGUCUUACAAACAUAAAGAUGCUUCAGCAUUGACCUCUAUAGUUGAAGAAAAUGAGAGUUGUUUAAAAAACUCAUUUAUAAGCAAUCUUUCAUUUACUAAUGGAUUACAAACUGGGAGUUUUAAACAAUAUGGUGUAGUUGAAAGUGAUUUAAAUUGUCUUGAAAACUGUUGCAAUGAAGAAGGUUGUGAUGCAGCUUUCAUGCUUAAUAAUUAUUGCUAUACUGUGAAGUGUUUCAUCAAGCCAUGCAAAUUAACAAAAUCAAAGUCUUUCUUAUUUAACCCAAGAAUCGCAUUAGUGGAAAGAUCUGGUGAGAUUUUAAGGAAGUCAUUUAUACCAACAAUGCCACUUGCUGAAAAUGGAGAUCCUUUGAAGAGUUAUUUUAGCCCGACUAGUAUUUCAAAGGAAAUUUUAGACACAAAACAAAUUAACAUAAAGGACACAAAACAAAUCAACAAAAAAAUUAAAAACAAAAGCAAAAUUACACAAAAGAUUGAUUCUGUUGUUAACAAACUUGAUAAAUUGGAAAAAAAAAUUUAUAGUUUAAGCCAAAAACCAAUUUUUCAAAAAUCAAAAUUGAUCCUAAGUAGACCAAAUAAAAUUAAUACAGGAGGAGUUUAUGACUUGGGAGCAACAGAUGUUGACUUUAGAGCCUGGGAUAAAAAUGUUCCUGAUUUAAAUGAUGAAAAGAUCAUACAAUAUGAUGACGACUUUAAAACAAAACGAAUUUUCGUCACUCCUCUGCACCAUAAAACAGAUGAAGAAGAACUAGAUCCUACUUAUUUAAAAGGAGAUGAAAGUGUUCCUGUAAUAAAGUUUAUUAAUGAUGAUGAAGGUGGUGAUGAUGAUGAAAAAGAAAAAUUGAAAAAUGAUAAUGAUGAUAUUGAUGAUGACAUUUAUGAUGAUGGUUUCUAUUAUAAAAAUAUUAAUUCCAAAAAGUUUCAUAAUCAAAGAAAAAUCCAUUUAAAUAAUGCUAAAGAAAGGAGUUUUAAAACAAAGGAACCGCCUUUAGUUGUUUUACAAAGAGUCACUGAAAACACCAAAAACAAGCUCAUUAAAAAAAAGUAUAAAAAAAAACAUUUAGAACGACACAGCAUUUAUGAAAACAAUUAUGUUAAAAAUGUGAAACCAGCUCCACAUGCGCAUGAUUUUGUUCGCUUCAUGACAACACCUGUUGCGACGCCUACUUUGCAACCUAUACAAGAUUUUACUAAGCCAUAUCAAACACAGGACUACAUAACAGUUCACAAAUAUGAAAAAAAAUUUGUGUUCCCAGUUCAUGAUGACAUUUCACCAGAUGAAGAAAGGUAUGUGGUUAUUCCAGACUAUAAAACUAAAAUUUUAAACUUACUUCAGGAAGAUAAGUUAAAUAGAAAUUAUUCACUGAGCAUUCACAAUGCAAAAGAAAAACAUUUAACUCAAAGCAUAAACUUAAAAAACAAUGCAAACAAGUUACACCUUUCAAAAUACAUUAAUGAAUCAUAUCCUUUAAUAAAUGAUGUUGAAAAUGUUGCUGUUGAAAAUUUUUACAUUAAUGAUUCUGAAUCACAUAUACAAAACAACACCACCGUGCACCCAUUAAUACAUCCAUUAGUACACCAAGAUAGUCCAAUUAUUAUGAACUCGAAUGGUGAAUUAAUCAAUGCAAUGGAGCUCAAGACCAUAGACAAUAAACCAGUUUAUCUGUUGAAACCAACUGGCUCCACUCAAACUUUGCUAACUACAUUAUCAACAGGAGAAAAAGUAAUUCGAGUCUUAAAAGGUGUGCUGGAAGAAAAUCGUAAAAGUCUUGAAAAAACCUUACAAAUGCAUCAACCUACAAAAAAGUCGAAUUCAGAUCCAACUAGUUUUACCAAGAAUAACGUAUUUGGAACCUUGAAAAAUGCUCCUCAAGUCAAAGGUUCUAAAAAGUAUUCAACUAAACCACCAACAAAUGGUGCAGCAGAAAGAAUUCUGUAUGCUGUUCGUAAGGCAUUACGUGAUGAGAAAGAUAAACUGUUUCGAGGCAUCAAAGUUGAGCCCACAAGUAAAGUUAUUUCUAAUAUAAAAAUUAAUUUAUCAAAAAAGGUACAGAAAAAGAAAGACAAAAAACACUCAAAAAAAAUUCUUGUUCCAAAUAAAAAAAAGAAGUCAUCUGAAGAGAGAAUAGAAGCUGCAAUUAAAAACUAUUUAAAAGUACAAAAAGAAGAACUAAAAACAAUUUUGAAUAAAACAUACCAGUUUACUAAACCAACAACAGCACCAAUAACUAAAAGCGAUGACAUUGAAGAAAAAAUUAUAUAUGCUAUUAAAAAAGUUCUUGAAGAAGAGAAAAAAGAAAUAGAAAUGUUGAAAAAUGAAUCAGUUUUAUCAACAUCACCAGUCUCCAAAUUAACAUCAAAAUCAGUUAGCGUAAAAAUUGCAGAUGCUCUCGAAAUUAUUCUUGGUAAUAACUCAGAUAAAAUUUAUCAAGAAAAUGGAAGUUUCCAUUUAACUCCUGAAGAAAGAAUUUCUUUAGUAAUAAAACGAGUUCUUGUUGAACAAAAACAAGAAAUAGAAAAACUUAGGAAUGAAUCUAAUAAAAUAUUGCACCAAAUGACACCUAUCUCUUCAACAACUCCAGUGUUGUUUAAUGAAAAGGUUCAUUCUGCCAUUGUGAGUGUACUUAAAAAUAAGAAAAAUAAUAAAUUCAACCAAACAAUUGGAAACCCUACAAAGAAAAGCAAAGGCUUUGGCACAAAACACCCCACUGAAAAUAGCCUAAAUGUGUUGAAAAAAGAAAAACAAAUAAAUGAAAUUGACACAACAAUAGACAAUAUUAAAUCCCAUCCAACAACAACAAUCACAGCACCCCUUGGAAUAAGUUUAACAAUGCCCAUUGCAUCAUAUCCAAAACAUGCAUCAGAACCCACCAGAACAUCAACUAAACACCAUCUAAUAUUAUCUCCUUUUCCCAUAAAAAACAUUAUCAGAGCUAUUAAAAAUGAAAUUAGAGAUGAAAGAAAAAAAAUUGAAACAAUAAUACACAGUGUUAAACCAACUCUCUCAUCAACACAAUCAACAACUCUUACUACAAAAAGCACUUUACUUGAUGAUAUUAAGGAUUUGUUUGCAAAAGAAAAACUUUAUGUCAAAGAAUAUCAGACCAAUCUAACAGCUUUUAAGCCAAAUAUAAUAGCAACUCCUAUACCAAUGAAAAAAAUUCUUAAGGCAAUAAAAGAAGAGAUGCGAGUUGAAAGAAAAAAAAUCAAAGCAUUAAUGCGUAGUAUGAAACCACAUAUCACUCUGUCUACAACAAGUUCAACAGUGACAACUACAAAAAGCACGUUGCUUGAUGAGAUUAAAGAAGUAGUGGCAAAAGAAAUAUUACAUUCCAAUCAACAUCAUAAUCUAACAACUUCCAGACCAAAAUUAAUGGCUACCCCUUUACCUAUAAAAAACAUCAUCAAAGCAAUAAAAGAUGAAAUAAAAGAUGAAAGAAAAAAAAUUGAAAUCUUAGUGCGUGGCAUUAAGGCACAUACAACUAAAUUACAACCUAUUUCAACAACACUUACUACAACUAAAUUACCACCUACUUCAACAACACUUACUACGAAAAGCACUUUACUUGAUGAUAUUAAGGAAUUGGUAGCAAAAGAGAAGAUACAUUUGAAAGAAUAUGAAACCACCCCUAAACCUAUUAUAAUAGUGAGUCCUUUACCAAUUGAAAAUAUCAUGAAAGCCAUAAAAAAAGAAAUGAGAAUUGAAAGAAAAAAAAUUGAAAAAAUAGUGCGUGAUCACAACUCCUAUCCUAGACUACAUACAACACUAUCAACAUCAACAACACCCACAGCUAAAACCACUUUAGUUGAUAAAGAAAAAAAAAUAGCAUUAAUUGAAAAAACAAAUUCUGAAGUGCUAAAGACUUAUAAAACAACUCCUAAAUCUUCAACAACUCUUUUACCAAUGAAGAACAUUAUCAAGACUAUAAAAGAGGAGAUUAGAGGCGAAAGAAAACAAAUUGAGAAAUUAAUGAAAUCACAGCUAACUAGAGCAACUGUACCAACAAAACACAUGACAACAAAACACACGACAACAGAACACACAACAACAAAAUACACGACAACAAAACACAUUACAAAAACAAAAUUGACAACAAAACUCGUUACAAAAAAUACUUUUGACAUGCUCUUAACAAACAUAUUAAAAAGACAAAAACAAGAAUCUCAGCCGUCUUCUUCUAUAAAAGAUGCCACAAACAUGAUAAGUGAAGUGAAAGAUUUGUUUAAGCAAAGUAAAAUUGCAAUUGAAAGUCUAAUAAACAAAACCAGAACAAUAACAAACCAGCAAACAAACAAAACUGAAACAUCAGCCUAUAGUAGCCAACUAAUUGUUGAUGGUAAAAACAAUGAAAAUAAAAUAAUUUCAGAUAUUAAACAAGAAAUACUUAAUGAAAAACAAGACAUUGCACUUAUGCUAAACAAAUCACUUGCUUUGCAUAACCCUACUGUAAUGUCAACAAAAAAACCUUUGGGAGCUGAAAUUUUGUCUGAAAUUAAAAAUAUCCUAAAAGAGGAUAGAUCAAGUAUGAGGGCACUCAUUAAUACUACUCUAAACGGUUUUAAAUCAACUUUGCCAACACCAAAAAAAGUUAAAAACUUUGAAACUGCAGAAAUGAUCUCUACCAUGAAAGAGGUUUUUAACAAAGAAAAAGAUGAUAUAAAUGAUAUAGUUGAGAAAUUAAAACCUUCAGUUACCACUCUUUCUUUUUACACAACAAAAAAUCCAUUAGUGAGGGAGAUGAAAGAUGCUUUGAGCAAUGAGAUUCUCGAGUUUAAAUCUCUUAUUGAUGAUAUUAAAUUAAAAGUUAAUCCCACUAAAACUACUUCAAAAACUUUUACUUACACACCCACUCACCCACACAUACAAACAUUCACUCAGAACUUAGUUGCAGAUUUUAAAGAUGUGUUAUCAGAAGAACGAAACGAAAUUGAGCAUUUAGAAAAAAAUGAAAACCCUUCUAAAAAAUCUUUAGAGAAAAACGCAGACAUUGUUAGUGAAAUAAAAAGUGCUUUAAGUGCAAGUACUGACACUAUUAAAGAUCUAAUUGUUAAAUCUGUCCAAAAUAUUCCUUUAUCUACGCAAAAACCUUUCAAUUUGCAUACUACAAAACAGAAGGUGACAGCCCUUAAAACUUUUCCCAUAACCAAGUCUGGCAUGUUACAAGAAAUAAAGGCCAUUCUUUUAUCUGAAGAUUCCCUAAUGAAGCAGAUGUUAAACCAAACAAAAAGUAUUAUUCAUGUCACAUCUAAACCUCUGACAACAUUUAUGAAGCAAAAACAAGUAUCUACCCAUGAUUCUGUUAUUGAUGCAAUUAAGGAAAUCAAAGGUGUUCUCGAAGAAGAAAAAAAUGCAAUAAAGUUUAUUCAAACAAACAUUACAGCACAUUCUCCAACUCAGAAACCACAUAGCACAACUCGAAAAUUACAUAGUCCAGCACAUAAAACAUACACUCCAGCUCAUAAAGUAUACACUACAGCUCAUAUAAUGCACACCGUAACUCAUAAAUCGAUUACUCUAGCUCAUAAAAGACAAAUUCUAAACAACAAUGCACACACAGCUUUCAGGCACAUACCGACUCACACACAGCAUACAAACAAACGAAAUAAUAUUAAUACUAAUAUACCUAUAUUUAGGUUAAAAACCCAGAAUAAAUUAGAACCCAACAGUAAAAGAGUUAUUAUUAUUGAAAGUAAUGAUUUAUCUAACGAUUUAUUUGAUGGUUACCUAACACAAUACAGAACCGAAAAUCCAAGGAAAGUUUUAAUCGAUGAUUUAAAAAAGUUGGAGGGCAAUGAUAACCUUGAAAAAAGAUUUAGUAAUAUUGAAAGAAUUUUAAAAUCUAACGUUCAACCACCAAAUUUUGAUGUCCAGUAUUCUCCCACUUCCAGACAGUUUAUAUCCCAAGUUGAAACUCCGCGUAUUCAAGGACAGUAUAUCCUCACUUCUAAGCAGUUAAAAGAUGCAUCACUUAUUCGAAGACAAAUGCAUCCUUACACCUCAAAACCUGUAACUCGAUCUCAUUCUACAAAGCACACUAAAGUAAAUACUACACCAAAAAUUAGAUAUUCCACAUCACAUUUCUUUACAAAAAAGUAUUCGCAUAAGACAAGUAAGCCGACUCCAAGACCAUUGAUGAUUUUAACACUCUCCAGGAACAAACAUUUAAAUCGCUACAAUACUGCUAUACCAACAAAAGUUUCUACAAAGAACAACAUCCCUGCUAGUGCCAGGAAUAAUGUUGAAAUGGUUCCAAGCAGAGCUGAUAAGUUAGAGCAAAAGUUAGAUAAAUUGACUCGCGAAAUGGAAAUAUUGGAAAAACUUGAAAAUGAUUAUAGAAAUGCUAAAAUGCGCGCUAUUGAAACUACUACCAUGGCUACAACAACUGCCACACCAACAACAAUUACUACUACUGCUACUACUAAAACAGCAACAACAACAACAGCAACAACAAAAACAUCAACAACAACAAAAAGUACAACAAAAAUAUUACCAACACAAAAAAAAUCCACGGCUGGUAAGAAGCUACCAGUAACAACCCCUAAAAAUAAGAUAAAUACUACUAAAAAACACAAACGAACGUGGCAUACUUUACACCAAAAAACCAUAAGUACAACAUCAAUACCGACUCAUAAAACAAGAGAAAAACAAUCACGCCAUAAAACAACUUCUUCUCCUCGUCACACAAAGUUAUUACGCCAUAAAACAAAUUCUUACUAUAUCAAACCAACACCAUUUGGAAACGCCUAUCAAAUUGAUGGGCAAGCAUUAAAGUUUGAAAAAAUGAAAACAUCUUAUGAUGGAAACGAUGAGGCGACCUUUAUUCAAAAAUUGAAAAAUGACGGAGAAACAGCAAAUGAACGAAAUCUAGAAAGACCAUAUCCUAUUAGUAAAAAGUUUAUAAAGUUUCAAAAUUUAAAAGAAACUUUAUCACCAAAUAACAAUAUUAUAUAUGGGAAUGAAAAUUUUAAAACUACGAAGCCAAGCCACGCCAACCAAGUUACGCAAAAAGUUUCUGCAAAAAAAAUUUCUGAGACGAAUGAUUACAUUUCACGACAUAUGUUUAGUGAAAGUUUAUCUCCUAAACUAUUUGAUAAUCAGUCUGAAAAGUUUGAAAGUGCAGAAAAUAUUUUUCGAUAUGAGCUUAAUACUAACUCAAUGCCAGAAGAUCUUAAAAUGCCAGCUGAAGAUAAUAUGGAUACAUUCAACGCAAAUAAUGACAGUCAAAUACCGAUUCUAGAAAAAUCGAAAAACCAACCAAAGGUUGAAGCUGAAGAUAAAAACUUGACAAAUGACAUUAUCAGUGAAAAUAAUGAUAUAGUGAUCAUAGUAAAUGAAGACGAUGCAGGUCAAGAGUUAGGAGAUGUUUAUAUUCAACCUCAAGAGCAAGUACUUCACGAAGAUGACGCAGAUUUUAAACCAACGUUAGGAGAUUUUGUUAUUCCCAAGUUUAACACCAAAAGGAUCGAAAAAGACGUAUUUAAAUCAACAUUGAAAGCUUCUAAGAUUUUUGAAACUAUAGUGUUAAGUCCGGAGAAUCCUAUUCCACCAGAUAAUGUUGUUUCUCUAGACAAUAAAACAACACCGUUUAUUUUUCCUACACAAAGAUCUACUAAAUCGAUUCAGACUGAUUAUCCAGUCACAACAAGAGAGCCAGAAACAGAUCGAGAAGGACCGUCUAUUGUAGAUAUAACAGAAAUAAAACUUCAUCGACCCGGGGUAAAUUUAGAUAAAAAAUCCAAUGUUCCUAAAGAAUUCAUUCCGUCUAAGCUCUUUUUCAAGAAUGUUCCAGAACAUUCAGUCAAUAAAACAGAAGUAAAUUCAUCACGCUCAACAAAUUCAUCAAGCUCAACCUUAAAACCCUUCAAUAAAAAGAAACAAAUACUGUUUAAAGAAACAAAGUCUUCAAACCUAAGCGUUAAUUACAGCGGAAAAAAACAUUUCAAUAUUCAAAACAAAAAUAAGCAGCAGUACGGAAAUGAUUUAAUAACCUCGAUGUUAUAUCCUACAAAUUCAUUUAUAGCAAACAUGCAAGUUAAUAGGCGUGUUUCUCAGGUUUCUGGAAGUAAUCAUUUUAAAAAUACUUCAAAAAAAGAUUUUAUAGUUCAAGGUGCCGGAACAACACUUAUUCAUUAUGGCUUUGAAAACUAUCGAUUAAACGAAAUAAAAGACGAUAGCGGAAAUAAUAUAAACGCAAUUUUGGUUGGUGGAGCACGUGUUACCAAGUCAGAUUCAAAAUGCGGAGCUGCUGUGGAGCUAAGCGGUGGAGAAAUAGUUAUUAGUAAUGAAGGACUAGCUAAUAAAGAACUUGAAGCGAUAACAAUAGCCAUGUGGAUAAAGCUAAGACGAGAUGAAGAAAAUCUUUCAUUGUUUAGUGUUGAUCAAGGACCUGAUAAUCAAGGGGCGUCUUUCUCUCUAGAAAUUAAAGACGGUAAAGUCCAUUGGAGUCAUAACGAUGAAAACGAAAACAAUAUAUUCGAUUUGUUAAUAGUUCAACGAUCUUCUAUGCCAUCUGGUCUAUGGACACACAUUGGCGUGACAUACGAUUCACAUAACGGCUUAGCAAAACUUUAUAUUGAUAGCCAAUUAAUUAAAACAGAAACUGGAGCUGGGCAUAUGUCGUCACAAUUUGUUGGAAAAUUUUCAGUAGGAAAAGGAGGUGCAUUACCUGGGUUGGUUGAUGAAUUUUACUUAUUUUCAAAAGCACUGGUUUUAAGUGAUAUAAGAGAUAUUUCAGAACUCUGUAACCUCGACGCAAGCUAUCCUAUUCCUAUGGAAACAACUAACCCGACUUUAGACUCAAUCGAUAACCGUUUAGGCAAUCGACAUUCAAAUAUUGAGAUAAAAAACCAAUGUACGCGUCAAGCCGUUUUUUUCAAUACUGACAUUAGCGGUGGUAAAACAGCUGGGGUAUUUGUUUAUGAUGGAGAUACAAGUUCUAUCGAGGAAUGUAUUCAAAAAUGCUGUGACUCAUCUAAAUGUCACUUAGCAUAUCUGGAAAAAAAUAGAUGUUAUAAUAUAAUUUGUCAUUUUCCCGCUUUAUGUCAGCCAGUAAAAGCUGGUAAAGCGCUUGUUACGUUGGGGUAUGUCGUUCGAAACGGAAACUCAGUUUAUGAGCCAGAUGAUACACCAACAUUGAAACCAAAGCCGAGUGAGUCAUCUUUUACUCGAGUUACAUUUCAACCCGUUAUUCACCAAAAGUGUUUACAAAGUAUGGUAUACUAUGGCGUAGCUUUGCGUGGUGGCUGGACUUCAGGAAAAUUUACAGAUAUGGGUAUAGUUCCGAGUCUUCAAAAGUGCGUACAGUUAUGUUGCAAUGAUAGCACGUGUGACCUUGCAAUGCUAAUUAGUCAAAAAUGCUUUACUAUUCAUUGCUAUUCACCUGAAGAUUGUCAAACAGUUCCUAACGGGCAUGCUCAAAUUGCCUAUGUUACUAGAGAAGGCUAUGCGCCAAUCGUUCCCACUAAACCACCAACUCCUCAUUCUGGGCAUAAACAUUCACAUAAAACCACCUCGUCUCCGUCAUACCGACCUGGUGUGACAUUUUCACCAACAAUAAGCCGCAAACGUUCAGACAUGUCGCUUCAUUUAACAUUUGAUCACAUGGAUGAAGAUGAAGUUCUCGAUGAGUCAGGUUACAACAAUAACGGUCAGAUGAGCAACGGAACUAAUAUCUCGCCAGGAGGUGGUAUUAGAGGAAAUGGUGUGAUGUUCCAAGGUGGCGUUCUUUUGUUAGAUGGGGGAAGAUUUAAUCCGAAACCUAUAAAUGCAAUUACUAUUUGUUUAUGGAUCAAGCUUAGAGAUGUUAUAGGAAGACGCACGCUUUUCGAAGCAUUAAGUAGUUUAGCGCAACCUGGAGUAUAUGCUGGAAUAUUCCUAGAAGUAAUCGAUGGGCGAAUACGUUGGUCAAGUAACAAUGAAAAUAAUCUUCCAAUAUUCAGCGUAGAAUCUCCUAACGUGAUACAAAAAGACAUUUGGUUUUUCAUAGCUGCGACAUAUGAUAGCGAAAGUGGAGAAGCAAAGAUAUUUGUUGAUGGAAGUUUACAGUCAGUAAGCGUUGGGCGUGGUAUCCUGAUACAAGAUUGGGCAUCUAAAGCAGGGUUUGGAGCCCAUCAACAAGGCAGAUCCCUUCACGGAUUUAUGGAUGAUAUUUAUAUAUUUACUAGCGCUUUAUAUAGAGACGAAAUAGUAUACCGACUUAAAGGGAGGAUUAGUAGCUGGAAACUUUUUGGACCGCGGGUUAACUAGUGGUAUUCUACCUUGUAUGGAGCUAUGUUGUUCGCAUCGAACCUGUGAUCUUGCUUAUAUGAUUUCUGGAAGGUGCUACUUAGUAGAGUGCUAUACUGAGGAUUUAUGUUCAAUUGUGCCUAAAGGAAUAGGGAUUAUUUCACCAACAAUUGGGCUAGUUGUACGCCCUAAUGGUCCUAAAAUUCCAGAAUUAAGCGAUCUGCUGGGAAGUUUACCGAAAAUUCAGCCGACUU
rnacentral:misc_RNA from 1 species